GGAAUUUUGGGCAAUGGGCGAAAGCCUGACCCAGUAACGCCGCGUGAAGGAUGAAGUUUUUCGGAAUGUAAACUUCGUAAGAAUAGUAAGAAUUAAUGACGGUACUAUUUGUAAGCUCCGGCUAACUACGUGACAGCAGCCGCGGUCAUACGUAGGGGGCAAGCGUUGUUCGGAUUUACUGGGCGUAAAGGGCGCGUAGGCGGCGUGAUAAGUCACUUGUGAAAUCUCUGAGCUUAACUCAGAACGGCCAAGUGAUACUGUUGUGCUAGAGUGCAGAAAGGGCAGCCGGAAUUCUUGGUGUAGCGGUGAAAUGCGUAGAUAUCAAGAGGAACACCUGAGGCGAAGGCGGGUUGCUAGGCUGACACUGACGCUGAGGCGCGAAAGCCAGGGGAGCAAAC
rnacentral:rRNA from 1 species